AUGGGCAUCGUGGACGUGGUGUCGGAGUACUGCUCGCUGCCGCGGAGUCGGCGGCACAUGAAGAGGCGGAAGCAGUUCCAGACGGUGGAGAUGAAGGUGCGGAUCGACUGCGAGGGCUGCGAGCGCAAGGUCAAGAAGGCCCUCGACGACAUGAAAGGCGUGAGCUCGGUGGAGGUGAUCCCGAAGCAGAACAAGGUGACGGUGACGGGGUACGUGGACCCGGCCAAGGUGAUGCGGCGGGUGGCAUACAAGACCGGCAAGCGGGUGGAGCCGUGGCCCUACGUCCCCUACGACGUGGUGGCGCACCCCUACGCCCCGGGCGCCUACGACAAGCGCGCCCCCGCCGGCUACGUCCGCAACGUCAUGAGCGACCCCUCCGCCGCGCCGCUCGCCAGGGCCUCCUCCACCGAGGCCAGGUACACCGCCGCCUUCAGCGACGAGAACCCCAACGCCUGCUCCGUCAUGUAG
rnacentral:rRNA from 1 species